CUACGGGCGGCAGCAGUGGGGAAUAUUGCGCAAUGGGCGAAAGCCUGACGCAGCAACGCCGUGUGAGGGAUGAAGGCUUUCGGGUCGUAAACCUCUGUCAGAAGGGAAGAACGGGUAUUGGUCUAAUAGGCCUUUAUUUUGACGGUACCUUCAGAGGAAGCACCGGCUAGCUCCGUGCCAGCAGCCGCGGUAAUACGGAGGGUGCAAGCGUUAUUCGGAAUUACUGGGCGUAAAGCGCACGUAGGCCGCUUUGUAAGUCAGGGGUGAAAUCCCACGGCUCAACCGUGGAACUGCCUUUGAAACUGCAGAGCUUGAAUCCUGGAGAGGGUGGCGGAAUUCCUGGUGUAGGAGUGAAAUCCGUAGAUAUCAGGAGGAACACCGGUGGCGAAGGCGGCCACCUGGACAGGUAUUGACGCUGAGGUGCGAAAGUGUGGGGAGCAAACAGGAUUAGAUACCCCCGUAGUC
rnacentral:rRNA from 1 species